rnacentral:rRNA from 1 species
GACGAACGCUGGCGGCGUGCUUAACACAUGCAAGUCGAACGAAGAGCGAUGGAAGCUUGCUUCUAUCAAUCUUAGUGGCGAACGGGUGAGUAACGCGUAAUCAACCUGCCCUUCAGAGGGGGACAACAGUUGGAAACGACUGCUAAUACCGCAUACGAUCUAAUCUCGGCAUCGAGGAUAGAUGAAAGGUGGCCUCUACAUGUAAGCUAUCACUGAAGGAGGGGAUUGCGUCUGAUUAGCUAGUUGGAGGGGUAACGGCCCACCAAGGCGAUGAUCAGUAGCCGGUCUGAGAGGAUGAACGGCCACAUUGGGACUGAGACACGGCCCAGACUCCUACGGGAGGCAGCAGUGGGGAAACUUCCGCAAUGGACGAAAGUCUGACGGAGCAACGCCGCGUGAGUGAUGACGGGCUUCGGGUUGUAAAGCUCUGUUAAUCGGGACGAAAGGCCUUCUUGCGAAUAGUGAGAAGGAUUGACGGUACCGGAAUAGAAAGCCACGGCUAACUACGUG